rnacentral:rRNA from 1 species
GAUGAACGCUGGCGGCGUGCUUAACACAUGCAAGUCGAACGGUGAACGAGGGAGCUUGCUCCCUCCGGAUCAGUGGCGAACGGGUGAGUAACACGUGAGCAAUCUGCCCUGGACUCUGGGAUAAGCGUUGGAAACGACGUCUAAUACCGGAUACGAGGCGUGGGGGCAUCCCCAACGCCUGGAAAGAACUUCGGUCCAGGAUGAGCUCGCGGCCUAUCAGCUAGUUGGUGAGGUAACGGCUCACCAAGGCGACGACGGGUAGCCGGCCUGGGAGGGUGACCGGCCACACUGGGACUGAGACACGGCCCAGACUCCGACGGGAGGCAGCAGUGGGGAAUAUGGCACAAUGGGCGCAAGCCUGAUGCAGCAACGCCGCGUGAGGGACGACGGCCUUCGGGUUGUAAACCUCUUUUAGCAGGGAAGAAGCGAAAGUGACGGUACCUGCAGAAAAAGCACCGGCUAACUACGUGCCAGCAGCCGCCGUAACAC